rnacentral:tRNA from 1 species
GGGGAUUUGGCUCAGUGGUAGAGCGCUUGCCUAGGAAGCGCAAGGUCCUGGGUUCGAUCCCAGCCCCG